rnacentral:rRNA from 1 species
UAAUACGGAGGGUGCAAACGUUGCUCGGAAUCAUUGGGCGUAAAGCGCGUGUAGGCGGCUUUGAAAGUCGAGUGUGAAAGCCCUGGGCUCAACCCAGGAAGUGCGCUCGAUACUGCUUAGCUAGAGUACGGGAGAGGGUGGCGGAAUUCCCGGUGUAGAGGUGAAAUUCGUAGAUAUCGGGAGGAACACCAGUGGCGAAGGCGGCCACCUGGACCGAUACUGACGCUGAGACGCGAAAGCGUGGGUAGCAAACAGGAUUAGAUACCCUGGUAGUCCACGCCGUAAACGAUGAGUGCUAGGUGUCGCGGGUAUUGACCCCUGCGGUGCCGCAGUUAACGCAUUAAGCACUCCGCCUGGGGAGUACGGCCGCAAGGCUA